UAAAGAAGUCCAGCCUGAUGUUUCUUUAAAAAAUCAGCCUGUAUUUUUGUACUGACUUGCUUACAUAUGGGGAUUAUAGUAAUCUAAGUCUCUGCAUGCCCUAAGCAUCUUGAACCCCUUCUAAGUUUGUAGUGCACAUACACUCCUCACUAAAACCCCAAGCAGGAGUGUAAGUAACUCCUCGUGUUAUUUUACAGACAGACUGUGCUUGCUGCAAGGACCUGUGCAGAGAAUCUACAACAGAAAUUGUGAGCAGAAGGGAGAACUGCCAUUACAAAGAGAUGGACAGAUGUCGGCAUAUGUGAGAAAUAACUGAGGUUCAUACAGGAGAUAUGCUGCUUGAUCCUUCCACCCACAUCCAGUGCUGGAAUAUGAAGAACUGUCCAUUCAUGAAACAGAAGGAUCUAUGGUCAUUCCUGCCUCUGAUUUUGUCAGUCUGUGUCGCCAGGGGAUCCACAAGGUUAUAUCUAUCCAUGUAUCCCAUGGAUACAUGGGAUAUCCGUGUAUACAUGUAUCCCAUGUAUCCCGUGCAAGAGAAAAAAUGAAAGGAACAAAAUCCAGAUGCUGGAAAAGAACUUUUUUUUCACCACAUAUAUCGCUUAAACAUUAAACUUUCCCGAAUGUUCCUUUUUGUUUGUUGAUUUUGUUUGUUUUGUUUUGUGGUUUUUUUUCUACAGAAAAGAGCAAAGAAGAUGACAAGAUAUCUGACACCAACAUGAGAACACUUAAAAGAUCGUUUAGUUCACAUGGUUAACAUGCAAACUUGAUUUUGAUUGCAGUUUCAUGAUGUGCAACAGGUAAGUUUGCCUACAAUUAUGGUACAGUAAACAGUCUCUCAGAAACCAUUCAACUUUCUCCCACAUAAAGAGAAAUGUGAAAAAUGAUGCAGACCUAUACUUUGCAAACAGAUGAAUAUCCACAGUUGUGGAAUUCAUGAAGUUCUUAUUAGAAUUCUGGAAACAAUAUGUGGAGAGAGUAUACAUCAAGGGGAAAAAAUCAUAAAAGACAAUACUCUUUUCAGUUAAGCAGCAAGAAAUAAAUCAUCUUUCUGAAGCAUAAAUGUGAUUACAGAACCCACAGGCAGUAUCUUUUGUAAACUUUAUGCAGUAAAAAAUGUUUGACUUCCUGAAAUAUACCUGUGAAAUCUAACAAAGCAGUUAGAUUUCAAGACGAAAACAGUUGGCAAGGAACAGAUGACUUGUAUUAUUUAUUAUCCCCAAGUACUUGAGUUCAUAAAACUCUCACAGCGAUUUGCAAGGAGGUACACUUUUUUAAUAGUACAGAAUGAAACAAUCCAUACUCUCCAAGGACAGACAUAUUACUGAGAGCUCAAAACAUUAGGAAUUUAAGGGAGAAAAGGGAGAGCUGUAGUAUGCUUUUGAAAACAAGAGGGAAUUCUUUUAGAUCUUAAAAUAAUAAAUAAGUAACAAUUAAUUUAAUUUCUGUACUUCUCUUCCAUUCUCGAUUGAAAACAGAGGCAAGCUGUUUACUGUCAAAAAUUUUACUUCCUAAAGUAACUGCAAAAAAAUAGAUAAUGAAUAGCAUGAGUCCAGACAAGGCAUAGAAGAACAGGUCUCAUAAUUCUUUAGAAAGCUUCUAAGAAGCUUUCUGAUAGCCGUGUGCAAAUGUACUAUGUUUUAUACUUCUACUUUUAUAUACUACUCCUUCAUGACUUUACACAUUAAUUCAAGAGUUCUUGGUUUCACAUCCUUACAUGAGCUAAUCUUUUAAUUAUUCUGGAUAAACUCCAUCAGAUGUUUCUGAUGCUAUUACUGAAAGAAACAACAACAAAAGAAAACAGAAAACAAAAUAGUAAUAGUAUAGAUGUUCCUGAAAUUGGCAAAUUUUCACUGUGAAUUCUGACUGAGAAUAUAUUAUAUAUUGAUUCUGUUAUUACAGAAGGGAAAAGAAGCAACACACCAACAGAUGAGCACAACAGAAUGAAGUGUAAGCAAGAAAAAGAAACUGUUCACAUAACUUUUAACAGCAAGAUAUAUUAUUUCUUUGCAUGAGAGAAAAUUACAUGGUUGUAAAACCACUACUUUGGAAAUAUAUCAACAAACUUCUCAUGCCUGAA